GGCGGGAUAGCUCAGCUGGUUAGAGCGAUGGAUUCAUAACCCAUAGGUCAGGGGUUCAAGUCCCCUUCCCGCUA
rnacentral:tRNA from 1 species